UGCAGCUUUGUCAAAUUCAGUGUUUCCUCUUCAGUGGACAACACUGGCCAAAAUGGCUGCAACAGCGAAUAAGUAGUUCAUGGGACCCACGUUCUUCUUAAGUGGAUACUGGGGACAGAAAAUACCUACGUACAAAC